CCUACGGGAGGCAGCAGUGAGGAAUAUUGGUCAAUGGACGAGAGUCUGAACCAGCCAAGUCGCGUGAAGGAUGACUGCCCUAUGGGUUGUAAACUUCUUUUAUAUGGGAAUAAAAUUUUCCACGUGUGGGAUUUUGUAUGUACCCUAUGAAUAAGCAUCGGCUAACUCCGUGCCAGCAGCCGCGGUAAUACGGAGGAUCCGAGCGUUAUCCGGAUUUAUUGGGUUUAAAGGGAGCGUAGGUGGUUUGUUAAGUCAGUUGUGAAAGUUUGUGGCUCAACCGUAAAAUUGCAGUUGAAACUGGCAGUCUUGAGUACAGUAGAGGUGGGCGGAAUGCGUGGUGUAGCGGUGAAAUGCUUAGAUAUCACGAAGAACUCCGAUUGCGAAGGCAGUUCACUGGACUGCAACUGACACUGAGGCUCGAAAGUGUGGGUAUCAAACAGGAUUAGAUACCCCUGUAGUC
rnacentral:rRNA from 1 species